UCGCCUGUUUUCAAAAACAUCUUUUCUUGUUAGUUUUUGAAGUAUGGCCUGCCCGCUGACUUUGGUGUUGAAGGGCCGCGGUAUUUUGACCGUGCAAAGGUAGCAUAGUCAUUAGUUCUUUAAUUGUGAUCUGGUAUGAAUGGCUUGACGAGGCAUGGGCUGUCUUAAUUUUGAAUUGUUUAUUGAAUUUGGUCUUUGAGUUAAAAUUCUUAGAUGUUUUUAUGGGACGAGAAGACCCUAUAGAGUUUGACAUUUGUUACGGUCCCCUUUUGUUUGUGAGGGUUCACUGGGCCGUUUAAUAUGUUUUGUUGGGGUGAUGGGAGGGAUAUAAAUGAACCCCUCCUUUUGUUAUUAUAUUUAUUUAUAUUUACUUGAUCC
rnacentral:rRNA from 1 species